AGCCUGAUGCAGCAACGCCGCGUGAGGGACGACGGCCUUCGGGUUGUAAACCUCUUUUAGCAGGGAAGAAGCGAAAGUGACGGUACCUGCAGAAAAAGCACCGGCUAACUACGUGCCAGCAGCCGCGGUAAUACGUAGGGUGCAAGCGUUAUCCGGAAUUAUUGGGCGUAAAGAGCUCGUAGGCGGUUUGUCGCGUCUGCUGUGAAACCCCGAGGCUCAACCUCGGGCCUGCAGUGGGUACGGGCAGACUAGAGUGCGGUAGGGGAGAUUGGAAUUCCUGGUGUAGCGGUGGAAUGCGCAGAUAUCAGGAGGAACACCGAUGGCGAAGGCAGAUCUCUGGGCCGUAACUGACGCUGAGGAGCGAAAGGGUGGGGAGCAAACAGGCUUAGAUACCCUGGUAGUCCACCCCGUAAACGUUGGGAACUAGUUGUGGGGUCCAUUCCACGGAUUCCGUGACGCAGCUAACGCAUUAAGUUCCCCGCCUGGGGAGUACGGCCGCAAGGCUAAAACUCAAAGGAAUUGACGGGGACCCGCACAAGCGGCGGAGCAUGCGGAUUAAUUCGAUGCAACGCGAAGAACCUUACCAAGGCUUGACAUAUACGAGAACGGGCUAGAAAUAGUCAACUCUUUG
rnacentral:rRNA from 1 species